AAAAGCCACCUCGCGAGUACUCCGUACAACACAGCACACGCGUAUCCCACUCGCUCCGUGUCUCUCUCUCGUUCAUCCCCUUUUCUCUUCUCUAUCGAGCCUUGCAGUAAAGCAUGCCCAAUUUGAUGCCGUCCUCCCCAAAUCGAUGCAGUUGGCUGCUCAUCGGCGCUCUCCUCGGCCCGCUCUGCCGGCAUCCUGCAGCUGUGUUUCCUCCUUGCCGCCCGUUGCGACGUUGCGUCAAACCUAACAUGAGCACGGCUCUGAUUCCGUCAGCGAUUGGCUUACAUGGAGUGAGGAAGAGAAUAUUUGCUGAAAAAACGGAAGAGAAUCAGUACCAUCACAGGGACUCGGCGGGCCAUGUUGCCAAAGACUACGCGCCUCCAAGUAUACGCCCCCUAAAGAAGGGUGCAGGGCGCCAUGAGCGGGCGGUUGAGCAGCUGCAGGGUGCCAUGUGUGUGGCGGCUGAUGCAUGAAAACGAGCAGGCGAGGGAGGAUGAGGAUUUGCCAACCGGCAGGCCGGAGGCCACGGUGUACCGUACGGCGGCGGAAGGGCAGCCAUGGGCCGAUGGGCGGUCGGUUGGGCGGUGCGCGAGAAUCUGCAGGCGGCUCACACUUUCCCACUCUCGCUGGCUCCUCUCUCUCUAAUCUGGCCAUACCAUAGUUCUGCAUCAGGACCAGCAGUGAAAAAAAUCCUUCAGCUGCACCGCAUCAGCCAGUUUGAAGACAGAUCAAGGGUCAAGGUCUGAGUGUUGGGAAACGCCACAAGAAGGGGAUUUGCAGGAUGAAGGUGACCACAAGCAUAGGAUGAUUCUGUUGCACACUACCUGUUUGAUGAAAUGCAGGACACAUACCAAGUACCACAGUGUGUGUAAUCGUGGGCCUAUAUGAAGGCGCUCCUCGUCCUCGGGCUGCUUGAGUGCAUCCUGUAGUGGUGAGGUCGAUAUCCUGGUCUGGGGUGAGUGCCACGGCGGCGUGCCACGUCCCUGCAGGCCGGCUGGGCAGCAGCAUUUUCCACGGGUGAUGGGUAUGGAACAUGUAAGCAACGAGAGGAGGAAUUCAAAAAUACCAAUUUGGCCACAUAUUAGAUUUGAGAAGGUUAGAGCCCAAUUAGCAAGGGUGGCUUGGGGUCCAUGUUCAGGGGUUCGGUUGAUGAGAAUACCAUCAUGCCCGGCACCGGUCACAACCAUGGCCAUCCAGAAGCUCAAAUAGGAACGCUUACAGGAUGCUGCAAAUGUGCAACCUAAAUGGAACUGGCUCAGAUGAUGAGACCACUACUGAGCCACGACACGGGGAUGGUAAUCUUCAUGAAGAAGCUCAAAUAGGAAGUCCUCCAUAGUGCAGAUAUAACUUCCUUCAUCUAUACUAUCUCUUCAAUUUCAGAGGAGUGGCAAGGUACAAACAAAGCAACAUUUUGAUUGAAUGUUUAUUAUAGGUUGGCUUGGUGAUAUGGGCAUGCCCUUUGUCUGGUCGCCCUGCUCCGCCUCAAGUGGCCUCCCACACUGUGUUCAACCCUGGUUCGUCAUGGUCAUGUUGUAUUCUUUGGUUGUGCAAGAUGUAUGGUGUAUGCUCAAUCAUUUUGAUUAUUUUUAAACAAUUCUAGAAAAGGAGAGCAGAUGAGGAGCGAGGGUGUGGAGGCAUACAUCGUCACCUGGAACAUUGUGAUCCACGGAUUGUGUAACUAGGAGGACAAAGGAGACGGCCCAGCUCCACAGGGACAUGAUGGCGACAGGGGUGGAGACGAACACCACGUUGGUCAAUGGGUAUUGCUGGGCAUGCGAUGUGGGGGAGGCCAUCAGGCUGCAAAGGGCCGAUGGGGACAUGGGAUUCUAAAUAAAAUAGUACGGACGAGGAAACAUACUUCUAAAUUUGGUCUUAAAAUUGGUGGAAUAUAAUGCGUACAUCUUAGCAUCGGUGAGCUCUUUUUUCCUUCGGAUGUUGCUUACUGCUGUGGUGCAAAAGGUUAUGACAAGUUGACUUUGUGGUGCAAAAAGUUAUGACAAGCAGAGGGUGUCAACCG